ensembl:lncRNA
GGUGAAUAAUGGAAAGAGUUUCAUUUAAAAAGAUAACAAAACUAGUACAUAAAUGGAGAGCUGAACUGGGGAAACAAAACUAAACCCAACUAUUCAAAACCCAGCAAACACUACGAAUACAGAAACGGAAAUCAACCAAUACUAAACUGGAUUAACAAAAGUAAACUAAGGAGGAGUACUCACAAGACGGAGAAAAAGGAGUCCAGAAGUGGGGAAGCAGAGUCCAUGAGGGAGCAGAGCGUGUGAAGCCAUGCGAGUCUUUGUGGGAAUCCAAGCCUGGAGAGAAGCAGGUGUCUAGUAGUUUAUGGUCAAACAGGCAAAGAGUCACUAAGCAGAGUUUAAAUAGUGAGCAGGUGAUAUUGAGGGCAGGUGAGCUGAUUACUGCAAUGUGAGUCACCUGCAGUAAUCAGCUGAGAGUGCAGACAGGUGAAGCAGGGAGAGCAAGAGACAGGAACGAGGAGAGAUGACAGACAGAGUCAAGUUGCUUCACCUGCCUGCACUCUAUUUGCUGAUUACUGUAAUGAGUGUCACCUGCAGUAAUUAGUUCACUCCAUUGACUGUUCUCUACCUCACCUCCAGUAUUUAAGCUCUGUGCUUCCAUUCACUCCUCGCCGGAUCAUCGGCUCACAUCUCUCCAUGGCUUCUGCUGCAUUCCUGGAUUGUGGGUUUCCCCACCAAGCCUUCUACUGCUUGUCAGCUUCAGCCUCUUGGACUCGACCGAUUUUGCUGUCCUGGAUUUCUCUCUUGUGGACUCUGUUCAACUCCUGUCUGUUUUUGGAUGCUCCCUGGUCUUCAGUCUGCCAAUUUUGUUUUUCCACUAGCUUCUGGGUUCUCCUAGCCUGCCUAGCCUUUAGCUCUGUUUUCCCAUGGUUGUUGUAAGUACAUUGCUGUGUUGUUUGGUUGAGGUUAUUCCUGUUUAGUUUUGUGGUUUUUGUAGGUUUGGUAGUGUAGUUUGUUUUAGUGUUGUGGUUUAGUUUGUCUGCUGGGGCUUCCGUUUCACGAAGCGGGUUCAACAAACUGUUUUUGGUUAAAUCAAGUCUGAGUAGUUUCCCCUGGAGUUAAGCACGUGCACCACAGCUCUGAAAAGCCAGUAUCAAUGGAGUGCCGAUUUGACGAGUCACCAUGGCAACGGGUGCAAGAGGGAGACGGCCUGGGAGAGCAUUGCUGCCUGAGUCAAUGUGUGCAAUCCUGUGAGGGAGAAGUGCAUGUGGCAAACAGGUAAGAAGUAUUUAUCACUGGAUAGAGAAAUUCUGGCCAUUGCAUUACCUCCACUGUGUGUUUGUUGAGUCUUCUCCUCUACAGGCUGGGGACCUGGAACCUUUGACUGAAUUUUAAGUAACUAUACACUGGCUAUCUUUCUAUCUUUCUGUCUUUCUAUCUGUGGCACAGAUAGCUAGACAGCUAGCGGAGCUAACUAUGAUUGAUAAAGUUUUCUGCACAUCAUAUUUACUAACAAACACCAAAACCUGAACAAUAUAUACAAAUGCUAUGUGUUACAUUAAAUGUAUAAAUUGACUCACUUUGUGUGGCUAAUACCUUACAAAUAGUCUGUAAACCUUUAAUUGGUUUCAGAUGUGAACGUUUCACUAUACACUGCUAAAACUCUAUAUGCUAGUACAUUACCAAAGGAAGCAAUCAUUAUUAACACACAAAGAUGUGAUUUAAUAUUAUAUAUUUAUUUGUUGUCUUUAACCCACUUCUCAUAGGUUGGCCUAACAACAAAAUAAACCCUAUCCUUUCAUCAAGAUCUUGUUACUACAGAAAAGUACAACUUCAUCCUGUGACAUCCAUGUACAACUCCAUACUUUAAUUUCCUCUAUAUAUUUUCAGUUAUCACUAACACAAAUUGACAAACCACUUACUCAAAAUCAAUCACACACCACAAAUAAAUAUAUGCAAUACUUCAACCACCAUAUUACAAGGCCACAUCUACAAAUGUAAACAUUGCAACACAACUUAGACAUGGCUGCAUGUUCACACUUGAACUAUGUAAACUAUCGGAAAAACAAACUAAACUAGCUCUUUCAUUUGUAUGAAAUAAAGAAAAAGGAUGCACUAUGUGUCAUGCAAAAGUUAAGUUAUUCUUCUUGCUAUACUUCUGUUUUUCUGUCCCCCGACUGCUAUUGUUUUCUUUAAUGCAAUUCUGACAAUAAACUUUUGUACCUUUUGCAGAUGUGUCUGUGCUAUUGUUUUAUUUGUGAAGGUUAGCAAGACUACAUGACAAAUUAAACACCAAAACAUUAAAACAGCUGUUUUAAGAAUAUUCCAGUUUGAUUAAAUCAGUAUUGCAGGAGUUUGUGUUAAAACAUGUUAAAUCCCAUUAAACAUAAGUGCAUUAUUAGUGUGACAGGAGGUCGUCUCCCUCCUGGCCGCUGUUGGACGCCGUGCCAGCGGUGCGAGCACCGUAAUUGCUGGGCGGUACUAUGCGCCCUUUAUAUUAAGGUGUGCAGCGGUGGAGCUUCCUGUCCUCCGCUCCCUGCUUGCUUCCGUGGUGGCUGUGGUUUGGCAUGACGGCGUUGGUGGACGCAGCCGUUCUCUGGUGUAUCCAGCUGUUCUGAUUGCUGUCAAGGCAUGCUGUCUGAAUACCGUGGCUGAGUGCUGGGGUGAAUUCCCCGGGGUGAAGCGGGGAUCUGCUGGAGCCCUGCUGGGCAUAGGAUCACAGGCUCGCUCUGGGUGUGUGUGGGU